AGACGAACCGGACAAACGUUAUUCGGAAUUAUUGGGUUUAAAGGGUGCGUAGGCGGCACGAGCAGUUGGGUGUGAAAUCCCUUGGCUCAACCAAGGAACUGCGCCCAAUACUGUCGUGCUCGAGGGAGACAGAGGCGAGCGGAACUGAUGGUGGAGCGGUGAAAUGCGUUGAUAUCAUCAGGAACACCAGUGGCGAAAGCGGCUCGCUGGGUCUCUUCUGACGCUGAGGCACGAAAGCUAGGGUAGCGAACAGGAUUAGAAACCCGGGUAGUCC
rnacentral:rRNA from 1 species